ACAGUGGACGCGAGCAUCUUUGUGGCUCAAGUUUUUAAGGGCACACGGUGGAUGCCUUGGCACCAGGAACCGAAGAAGGACGUAGGAAUCUGCGAUAAGCCUCGGGGAGUCGAUAACCAGACUGUGAUCCGAGGAUUUCCGAAUGGGGAAACCCGGCUGGAGGCAAGUCCAGUCACUCCCGCCUGAACACAUAGGGCGGGUAGAGGGAACGUGGGGAAGUGAAACAUCUCAGUACCCACAGGAAGAGAAAGCAACCGCGAUUCCGUGAGUAGUGGCGAGCGAAAGCGGAAGAGGCUAAACCUCAGUUGUGUGAUACCUGUCAGGGGUUGCAGCUGGGGGGUCGUGGGACUUUUCGGUCAGUGCUGACACGCUGGCAUGGAGUCAGAAAUGCGCGUUGUAGUCGAAGGGCAUUGAAAGGCCCGGCACAGAGGGUGCUACCCCCGUAGACGAAACGAUGCGCACUCCAGAGAAGUAUCCCAAGUAGCACGGGGCCCGAGAAAUCCCGUGUGAAUCUGGCGGGACCACCCGCUAAGCCUAAAUAUUCCCUGGUGACCGAUAGCGGACAAGUACCGUGAGGGAAAGGUGAAAAGUACCCCGGGAGGGGAGUGAAAUAGAUCCUGAAACCGUGUGCCUACAAUCCGUCGGAGCCUCCUUGUGGGGUGACGGCGUGCCUUUUGAAGAAUGAGCCUGCGAGUUAGUGCUCAGUGGCGAGGUUAACCCGUGUGGGGAAGCCGUAGCGAAAGCGAGUCCGAAUAGGGCGUUUUAGUCGCUGGGUCUAGACCCGAAGCGGAGUGAUCUACCCAUGGCCAGGUUGAAGCGACGGUAAGACGUCGUGGAGGACCGAACCCACUUAGGUUGAAAACUGAGGGGAUGAGCUGUGGGUAGGGGUGAAAGGCCAAUCAAACUCCGUGAUAGCUGGUUCUCCCCGAAAUGCAUUUAGGUGCAGCGUCACGUGUUUCUUACCGGAGGUAGAGCUACUGGAUAGCUGAUGGGCCUCACCAGGUUACUGACGUUAGCCAAACUCCGAAUGCCGGUAAGUGAGAGCGUGGCAGUGAGACUGCGGGGGAUAAGCUCCGUAGUCGAGAGGGAAACAGCCCAGACCACCAUCUAAGGUCCCUAAGCGUGUGCUAAGUGGGAAAGGAUGUGGAGUUGCAUUGACAACCAGGAGGUUGGCUUAGAAGCAGCCACCCUUUAAAGAGUGCGUAAUAGCUCACUGGUCAAGUGAUUCCGCGCCGACAAUGUAGCGGGGCUCAAGCACACCACCGAAGCUGUGGCAUUGACACACUGCUCGGCCAGUUUUCCUGCGGGGUUCUGGUCCAGGCGUGUUGAUGGGUAGGGGAGCGUCGUGUGGCCAGGGAAGCGGCGGAGUGAUCCAGCCGUGGAGGCCACACGAGUGAGAAUGCAGGCAUGAGUAGCGAAUGACGGGCGAGAAACCCGUCCGCCGAAUAACCAAGGGUUCCAGGGUCAAGCUAAUCUGCCCUGGGUAAGUCGGGACCUAAGGCGAGGCCGACAGGCGUAGUCGAUGGACAUCCGGUUGAUAUUCCGGAACCGGCGAAGAACCGCCCAUGACGAACCUAGUGAUGCUAAACGCCCAAAGCUGUUGUCCAAGACCUUCGGGUUGAGGGUUUCAGUGGAGCGCGUGACCCGAUCUAGUAGUAGUCAAGCGAUGGAGAGACGCAGGAAGGUAGCCUCCGCGUGGCGAUGGUAGUCCACGUCCAAGGGUGUAGGGCGAGCUGUAGGCAAAUCCGCAGCUCACAUAGCCUGAGACCUGAUAGUGACCGCGUAUGCGGGAAGCAGGGUGAUCCUAUGCUGCCAAGAAAAUCUUCUAGCGAGGUUCGAGCCGCCCGUACCCCAAACCGACUCAGGUGGUUAGGUAGAGAAUACCAAGGCGAUCGAGUGAAUCGUGGUUAAGGAAUUCGGCAAAAUACCCCCGUAACUUCGGGAGAAGGGGGGCCCAGAGGGUGAAGGCACUUGCUGCCUAGCCUGAACGGCCGCAGAGACCAGGGAGAAGCGACUGUUUACUAAAAACACAGGUCCGUGCGAAGUCGCAAGACGAUGUAUACGGACUGACGCCUGCCCGGUGCUGGAAGGUUAAGAGGACCGGUUAGUUCUUCGGAGCGAAGCUGAGAAUUUAAGCCCCAGUAAACGGCGGUGGUAACUAUAACCAUCCUAAGGUAGCGAAAUUCCUUGUCGGGUAAGUUCCGACCUGCACGAAUGGCGUAACGACUUCUCCACUGUCUCAACCACGAACUCGGCGAAAUUGCACUACGAGUAAAGAUGCUCGUUACGCGCAGCAGGACGGAAAGACCCCGGGACCUUUACUACAGCUUGGUAUU
rnacentral:rRNA from 1 species